GGGGGGCCUUACGGGUGGCAGCAGUGGGGAAUUUUGGACAAUGGGGGCAACCCUGAUCCAGCAAUGCCGCGUGAGUGAAGAAGGCCUUCGGGUUGUAAAGCUCUUUUGUCAGGGAAGAAACGCACCGGGUUAAUACCCUGGUGUAAUGACGGUACCUGAAGAAUAAGCACCGGCUAACUACGUGCCAGCAGCCGCGGUAAUACGUAGGGUGCAAGCGUUAAUCGGAAUUACUGGGCGUAAAGCGUGCGCAGGCGGUUGUGCAAGACAGAUGUGAAAUCCCCGGGCUCAACCUGGGAAUUGCAUUUGUGACUGCACGGCUAGAGUGUGUCAGAGGGGGGUAGAAUUCCACGUGUAGCAGUGAAAUGCGUAGAUAUGUGGAGGAAUACCGAUGGCGAAGGCAGCCCCCUGGGAUAACACUGACGCUCAUGCACGAAAGCGUGGGGAGCAAACAGGAUUAGAUACCCUGGUAGUCCACGCCCUAAACGAUGUCAACUAGUUGUCGGGUCUUAAUUGACUUGGUAACGCAGCUAACGCGUGAAGUGACUGCGUGGGAC
rnacentral:rRNA from 1 species